CACGAGAUGGCUGAAAAAGUGUAAAUUUUUUAAAUUUACCAUAGUAGAAAUACUUUUCGUGG
rnacentral:tRNA from 1 species